rnacentral:rRNA from 1 species
AAUACAUGCAAGUGGAACGCUGAAGCUUGGUGCUUGCACCGAGCGGAUGAGUUGCGAACGGGUGAGUAACGCGUAGGUAACCUGCCUCUUAGCGGGGGAUAACUAUUGGAAACGAUAGCUAAUACCGCAUAAAAGUCGAUAUCGCAUGAUGUUGACUUGAAAGGUGCAAAUGCAUCACUAAGAGAUGGACCUGCGUUGUAUUAGCUAGUUGGUGAGGUAACGGCUCACCAAGGCGACGAUACAUAGCCGACCUGAGAGGGUGAUCGGCCACACUGGGACUGAGACACGGCCCAGACUCCUACGGGAGGCAGCAGUAGGGAAUCUUCGGCAAUGGGGGCAACCCUGACCGAGCAACGCCGCGUGAGUGAAGAAGGUUUUCGGAUCGUAAAGCUCUGUUGUAAGAGAAGAACGAGUGUGAGAGUGGAAAGUUCACACUGUGACGGUAACUUACCAGAAAGGGACGGCUAACUACGUGCCAGCAGCCGCGGUAAUACGUAGGUCCCGAGCGUUAUCCGGAUUUAUUGGGCGUAAAGCGAGCGCAGGCGGUUAGAUAAGUCUGAAGUUAAAGGCUGUGGCUUAACCAUAGUACGCUUUGGAAACUGUUUAACUUGAGUGCAGAAGGGGAGAGUGGAAUUCCAUGUGUAGCGGUGAAAUGCGUAGAUAUAUGGAGGAACACCGGUGGCGAAAGCGGCUCUCUGGUC